GAUGAACGCUGGCGGCGUGUCUAAUACAUGCAAGUCGAGCGAACGGACGAGAAGCUUGCUUCUCUGAUGUUAGCGGCGGACGGGUGAGUCACACGUGGAUCCCCUACCUAUCAGACUGGGAUAACUUCGGGAAACCGGCGCUAAUACCGGAUAAUAUUUUGCACCGCAUGGUUCACAAGUGAAAGACGGUCUUGCUGGCGGUUGUAGAUGGAUCCGAGGUUCAUUAGCUAGUUGGUAAGGUAGCGGCUUACCACGGCUAUGAUGGGUAGCCGGCCUGGGAGGUGGACCGGCCACAUGGGGACUGCGAGACGGCCCAGACGCCUACGGGAGGCAGCAGUGGGGAAUAUUGCACAAUGGGCGGAAGCCUGAUGCAGCGACGCCGCGUGCGGGAUGACGGCCUUCGGGUUGUAAACCGCUUUCGCCUGUGACGAAGCGUGAGUGACGGUAAUGGGUCAAGAAGCACCGGCUAACUACGUG
rnacentral:rRNA from 1 species